rnacentral:rRNA from 1 species
UACGAAGGGGGCUAGCGUUGCUCGGAAUCACUGGGCGUAAAGCGCACGUAGGCGGAUUGUUAAGUCCGUGGUGAAAUCCCCAAGCUUAACUUGGGAACUGCCGUGGAUACUAUCAAUCUUGAAUAUCGUGGAGGUAAGCGGAAUAUGUCAUGUAGCGGUGAAAUGCUUAGAUAUGACAUAGAACACCAAUUGCGUAGGCAGCUUACUACACGAUCAUUGACGCUGAGGCACGAAAGCGUGGGGAGCAAACAGG